rnacentral:rRNA from 1 species
UACAGAGGUGGCAAGCGUUGUUCGGAAUUACUGGGCGUAAAGGGCGCGUAGGCGGCCUUCUAAGUCGGACGUGAAAUCCCUCAGCUUAACUGGGGAACUGCGUCUGAUACUGGUUGGCUUGAGUGCAGGAGAGGAAUGCGGAAUUCCAGGUGUAGCGGUGAAAUGCGUAGAUAUCAGGAGGAACACCGGUGGCGAAGGCGGUUCUCUGGGCAUUACCUGACGCUGAGGAGCGAAAGUGUGGGGAGCGAACAGG